rnacentral:rRNA from 1 species
GUGAGCCAGUACAGGAUGGACCCGCGUCUGAUUAGCUAGUUGGUAAGGUAACGGCUUACCAAGGCGACGAUCAGUAGCCGACCUGAGAGGGUGAUCGGCCACAUUGGAACUGAGACACGGUCCAAACCCCUACGGGAGGCAGCAGUGGGGAAUAUUGCACAAUGGGCGAAAGCCUGAUGCAGCAACGCCGCGUGAGUGAUGAAGGCCUUCGGGUCGUAAAACUCUGUCCUCAAGGAAGAUAAUGACGGUACGUGAGGAGGAAGCCCCGGCUAACUACGUGCCAGCAGCCGCGGUAAUACGUAGGGGGCUAGCGUUAUCCGGAUUUACUGGGCGUAAAGGGUGCGUAGGCGGUCUUUCAAGUCAGGAGUGAAAGGCUACG